AACGAACGCUGGCGGCAUGCCUAACACAUGCAAGUCGAACGAAGUCUUCGGACUUAGUGGCGCACGGGUGCGUAACGCGUGGGAAUCUGCCCUUGGGUUCGGAAUAACAGUGAGAAAUUACUGCUAAUACCGGAUGAUGACUUCGGUCCAAAGAUUUAUCGCCCAAGGAUGAGCCCGCGUAAGAUUAGCUAGUUGGUGAGGUAAAGGCUCACCAAGGCGACGAUCUUUAGCUGGUCUGAGAGGAUGAUCAGCCACACUGGGACUGAGACACGGCCCAGACUCCUACGGGAGGCAGCAGUGGGGAAUAUUGGACAAUGGGCGAAAGCCUGAUCCAGCAAUGCCGCGUGAGUGAUGAAGGCCUUAGGGUUGUAAAGCUCUUUUACCAGGGAUGAUAAUGACAGUACCUGGAGAAUAAGCUCCGGCUAACUCCGUGCCAGCAGCCGCGGUAAUGUGACUACUG
rnacentral:rRNA from 1 species